rnacentral:rRNA from 1 species
GACGAACGCUGGCGGCGUGCUUAACACAUGCAAGUCGAACGAAGUGGCGAACGGGUGAGUAACGCGUAAUCAACCUGCCCUUGCGAGGGGGACAACAGUUAGAAACGAAUGCGAAAACCGCAUACUGUAGGAGGGGGUUGUGUUUGAUUAGCUAGUUGGAGGGGUAACGGCCUACCAAGGCGAUGAUCAGUAGCCGGUCUGAGAGGAUGAACGGCCACAUUGGGACUGAGACACGGCCCAGACUCCUACGGGAGGCAGCAGUAGGGAAUCUUCCGCAAUGGGGGAAAGUCUGACGGAGCAACGCCGCGUGAGUGAUGACGGCCUUCGGGUUGUAAAGCUCUGUUAAUCGGGACGCGGUACCGGAAUAGAAAGCCACGGCUAACUACGUGCCAGCCGCCGCGGUAAUUC